GAGCUCCAAGUGGGCCAUUU
rnacentral:snRNA from 1 species